rnacentral:rRNA from 1 species
AUUGAACGCUGGCGGCAGGCCUCACACAUGCACGUCGAACGAGUGGCGGACGGGUGAGUAAUGUCUGGGAAACUGCCUGAUGGAGGGGGAUAACUACUGGAAACGGUAGCUAAUACAGCAUACCAUCGGAUGUGCCCAGAUGGGCUUAGCUAGUAGCUCGGGUAACGGCUCACGUAGGCGACGAUGCCUCGCUGGUCUGCGAGGAUGACGAGCCACAUUGGAACGGAGACACGGUCCAGAGUCCUACGGGAGGCAGCAGUGGGGAAUAUUUGACAAUGGGGGCAAGCCUGAUGCAGCCAUGCCCGGUGUAUUAAGAAGGCCUUCGGGUUGUAAAGUACUUUCAGCGGGGAUGCGUUACUCGCAGAAUAAGUACCGGCUAACUCCGUGCCAGCAGCCGCGGUAAUUC